rnacentral:rRNA from 1 species
AGUUAACGCUGGCGGCGUGCCUAACACAUGCAAGUCGAGCGAGCUUGUAGCAAUACAAGUUAGCGGCAAACGGGUGAGUAACACAUGGGAAACCUCCCUCAGAAUGGGGAACAUCUCCGAGAAAUCGGAGCUAAUACCGCAUAAGACCACAGUCCGGCAUCGGACAGGGGUAAAAGCAGCAAUGCGUUUUGAGAUGGUCCUGUGUCCUAUCAGCUAGUUGGUGAGGUAACGGCUCACCAAGGCUAAGACGGGUAUCCGGCCUGAAAGGGUGAACGGACACACUGGAACUGAGACACGGUCCAGACUCCUACGGGAGGCAGCAGUGGGGAAUUUUGGACAAUGGGGGAAACCCUGAUCCAGCGACGCCGCGUGAAGGAUGAAGGCCUUCGGGUUGUAAACGUUCUUUUGGUAGGGGACGGAAUAAAUUGACGGUACCCUCAGAAAAGACCACGGCUAACUACGUG